UCCCUUGUUGGUGAGGUACGGCUCACCAAGGCGACGACGGGUAGCCGGCCUGAGAGGGCGACCGGCCACACUGGGACUGAGACACGGCCCAGACUCCUACGGGAGGCAGCAGUGGGGAAUAUUGCACAAUGGGCGAAAGCCUGAUGCAGCGACGCCGCGUGAGGGAUGACGGCCUUCGGGUUGUAAACCUCUUUCAGCAGGGAAGAAGCGAAAGUGACGGUACCUGCAGAAGAAGCGCCGGCUAACUACGUGCCAGCAGCCGCGGUAAUACGUAGGGCGCGAGCGUUGUCCGGAAUUAUUGGGCGUAAAGAGCUCGUAGGCGGUCUGUCGCGUCGGGAUGUGAAAGCCCGGGGCUUAACCCCGGGUCUGCAUUCGAUACGGGCAGACUAGAGUGUGGUAAGGGGAGAUCGGAAUUCCUGGGUGUAGCGGUGAAAUGCGCAGAUAUCAGGAGGAACACCGGGUGGCGAAGGCGGAUCUCUGGGCCAUUACUGACGCUGAGGAGCGAAGCGUGGGGAGCGAACAGGAUUAGAUACCCUGGUAGUCCACGCCGUAAACGGUGGGAACUA
rnacentral:rRNA from 1 species